rnacentral:tRNA from 1 species
UGGACGUUUAACUCAGCGGUAGAGUGCUACCUUCACACGGUAGAAGUCACUGGUUCAAACCCAGUAACGUCCAA